CGCAAUGGGCGAAAGCCUGAUGGAGCGACGCCGCGUGAUUGAUGAAGUCUUUAGGGAUGUAAAAAUCUUUUCUGAAGGAGGAAAUUUUGACGUUACUUCAGGAAUAAGGGGUUGCUAAACUCGUGCCAGCAGCAGCGGUAAUACGAGUGCCCCGAGCGUUAUCCGGAAUUAUUGGGCGUAAAGGGUCCGCAGGCGGUUAUGUUAGUCUUUUGUUAAAACUCCCGGCUUAACUGGGAAAAGGCAAGAGAUACGGCAUGACUAGAGGAUGUGAGAGGUAUAUGGAACUCAUAGUGUAGGGGUGAAAUCCGUUGAUAUUAUGGGGAACACCAAAAGCGAAGGCAGUAUACUGGCACAUUCCUGACGCUCAAGGACGAAAGCGU
rnacentral:rRNA from 1 species